rnacentral:rRNA from 1 species
CAUUACUGAGUUUACGCUCUACAACCCUUUGUGAACAUACCUAUAACUGUUGCUUCGGCGGGUAGGGUCUCCGCGACCCUCCCGGCCUCCCGCCUCCGGGCGGGUCGGCGCCCGCCGGAGGAUAACCAAACUCUGAUUUAACGACGUUUCUUCUGAGUGGUACAAGCAAAUAAUCAAAACUUUUAACAACGGAUCUCUUGGUUCUGGCAUCGAUGAAGAACGCAGCGAAAUGCGAUAAGUAAUGUGAAUUGCAGAAUUCAGUGAAUCAUCGAAUCUUUGAACGCACAUUGCGCCCGCCAGCAUUCUGGCGGGCAUGCCUGUUCGAGCGUCAUUUCAACCCUCAAGCUCUGCUUGGUGUUGGGGCCCUACAGCUGAUGUAGGCCCUCAAAGGUAGUGGCGGACCCUCCCGGAGCCUCCUUUGCGUAGUAACUUUACGUCUCGCACUGGGAUCCGGAGGGACUCUUGCCGUAAAACCCCCAAUUUUCCAAAGGUUGACCUCGGAUCAGGUAGGAAUACCCGCUGAACUUAAGCAUAUCAAUAAGCGGAGGAGGUCA